rnacentral:rRNA from 1 species
AGUGAACGCUGGCGGUAGGCCUAACACAUGCAAGUCGAACGGCAGCACAGUAAGAGCUUGCUCUUACGGGUGGCGAGUGGCGGACGGGUGAGGAAUACAUCGGAAUCUACUUUUUCGUGGGGGAUAACGUAGGAAACUUACGCUAAUACCGCAUACGACCUACGGGUGAAAGCAGGGGCUCUUCUGACCUUGCGCGAUUGAAUGAUCCGAUGUCGGAUUAGCUAGUUGGCGGGGUAAAGGCCCACCAAGGCGACGAUCCGUAGCUGGUCUGAGAGGAUGAUCAGCCACACUGGAACUGAGACACGGUCCAGACUCCUACGGGAGGCAGCAGUGGGGAAUAUUGGACAAUGGGCGCAAGCCUGAUCCAGCCAUACCGCGUGGGUGAAGAAGGCCUUCGGGUUGUAAAGCCCUUUUGUUGGGAAAGAAAGGCAGCAGGUUAAUACCCCGCUGUUCUGACGGUACCCAAAGAAUAAGCACCGGCUAACUUCGUG